CCCUUAGAUGUCCUGGGCUGCACGCGCGCUACACUGAUGUGUCCAGUAAGCACCUAACCUAUUCCGAGAGGAGCGGGUAACCUUAGCAAAGCACAUCGUGAUGGGGAUAGAUUAUUGCAAUUAUUAGUCUUGAACGAGGAAUUCCUAGUAAGCACAAGUCAUCAGCUUGUGUUGAUUACGUCCCUGCCCUUUGUACACACCGCCCGUCGCUCCUACCGAUUGAAUGUUCCGGUGAGCUCUUCGGACUGCGCGGUCUGCAGUUUCUGCGUUCCGUGCGGAAAGUUGUACAAACCUUAACAUUUAGAGGAAGGAGAAGUCGUAACA
rnacentral:rRNA from 1 species